rnacentral:rRNA from 1 species
AACGAACGCUGGCGGCAGGCUUAACACAUGCAAGUCGAACGCCCCGCAAGGGGGAGUGGCAGACGGGUGAGUAACACGUGGGAACAUACCCUUCGGUUCGGAACAACGUUUGGAAACGAACGCUAAUACCGGAUACGGCUUACGAGCGAAAGAUUCAUCGCCGAAGGAUUGGCCCGCGUUCGAUUAGCUUGUUGGUGAGGUAACGGCUCACCAAGGCGACGAUCGAUAGCUGGUCUGAGAGGAUGGCCAGCCACAUUGGGACUGAGACACGGCCCAAACUCCUACGGGAGGCAGCAGUGGGGAAUAUUGGACAAUGGGCGCAAGCCUGAUCCAGCCAUGCCGCGUGAGUGAUGACGGCCUUAGGGUUGUAAAGCUCUUUCGCACGCGACGAUAAUGACGGUAGCGUGAGAAGAAGCCCGGCUAACUUCGUGCCAGCCGCCGCCGUAAC